GCUCCAGUGCUCUGGGAGAGUUUAUAGUCCUGAGAGUUGAACACUGGAUGACUGACAGCUGUCCUUCAUGACAACAGAAGCCACAGAAAUCCUCCUCAUCAAAAACAUGACUUUGAUCUCCGUCCUCAUCUGGACUCUCCUCUGCUGCUGCUUCACAGAGUCCAGAGGUCAGGUCACAGUGACUCAGCCUGGAGCAGUGAGCUCUGCUGUGGGAGGCUCCGUCACCAUCACAUGUAGGACCAGUCAGGAUGUUUAUAGCUCUAACCGUUUAGCCUGGUACCAACAGAGAGAUGGAGAAACUCCUAAACUGCUCAUAUACUAUGCCAGCACUCGAGCAUCAGGGAUUCCAGGUCGUUUUACAGGCAGUGGAUCAAACUCUGACUUCACUCUGACCAUCAGUGGAGUCCAGACUGAAGAUGCAGCAGUUUACUACUGUCAGAGUUAUCAUGACAUCAACAGUCAAGCUGUGUUCACACAGUGUAAAAGUGUCGUACAAAAACCUCCCUCAGUCAGACUGAACAGAAACUGAACUGACUGCUGCAGC